rnacentral:rRNA from 1 species
GAUGAACGCUGGCGGCGUGCCUAACACAUGCAAGUCGAGCGGCAGCGAGGGGUGCUUGCACCCUGUCGGCGAGCGGCGGACGGCUGAGUAACGCGUGGGAACGUGCCCCAAAGUGAGGAAUAACUGCCCGAAAGGGUAGCUAAUACCGCAUAUUAUCUUCGGAUCAAAGGAUUUAUCCGCUUUGGGAGCGGCUCGCGUCGGAUUAGGUAGUUGGUGAGGUAAUGGCUCACCAAGCGGACGAUCCGUAGCUGGUCUGAGAGGAUGACCAGCCAGACUGGAACUGAGACACGGUCCAGACUCCUACGGGAGGCAGCAGUGAGGAAUCUUCCACAAUGGGCGAAAGCCUGAUGGAGCAACGCCGCGUGCAGGACGAAGGCCUUCGGGUUGUAAACUGCUUUUAUAAGUGAGGAAUAUGACGGUAACUUAUGAAUAAGGAUCGGCUAACUACGUG